GGGUUGUGAGGUUAAGCGACUAAGCGUACACGGUGGAUGCCCUGGCAGUCAGAGGCGAUGAAGGACGUGCUAAUCUGCGAAAAGCGUCGGUAAGGUGAUAUGAACCGUUAUAACCGGCGAUGUCCGAAUGGGGAAACCCAGUGCAAUUCGUUGCACUAUCGUUAACUGAAUACAUAGGUUAACGAGGCGAACCGGGGGAACUGAAACAUCUAAGUACCCCGAGGAAAAGAAAUCAACCGAGAUUCCCCCAGUAGCGGCGAGCGAACGGGGAGCAGCCCAGAGUCUGAAUCAGCUUGUGUGUUAGUGGAACGGUCUGGAAAGUCCGACGGUACAGGGUGAUAGUCCCGUACACCAAAAUGCACAGGUUGUGAACUCGAAGAGUAGGGCGGGACACGUGGUAUCCUGUCUGAAUAUGGGGGGACCAUCCUCCAAGGCUAAAUACUCCUGACUGACCGAUAGUGAACCAGUACCGUGAGGGAAAGGCGAAAAGAACCCCGGCGAGGGGAGUGAAAAAGAACCUGAAACCGUGUACGUACAAGCAGUGGGAGCACCUUCGGGUGUGACUGCGUACCUUUUGUAUAAUGGGUCAGCGACUUAUAUUCUGUAGCAAGGUUAACCGUAUAGGGGAGCCGCAGGGAAACCGAGUCUUAACUGGGCGUUAAGUUGCAGGGUAUAGACCCGAAACCCGGUGAUCUAGCCAUGGGCAGGUUGAAGGUUGGGUAACACUAACUGGAGGACCGAACCGACUAAUGUUGAAAAAUUAGCGGAUGACUUGUGGCUGGGGGUGAAAGGCCAAUCAAACCGGGAGAUAGCUGGUUCUCCCCGAAAGCUAUUUAGGUAGCGCCUCGUGAACUCAUCUUCGGGGGUAGAGCACUGUUUCGGCUAGGGGGUCAUCCCGACUUACCAACCCGAUGCAAACUACGAAUACCGAAGAAUGUUAUCACGGGAGACACACGGCGGGUGCUAACGUCCGUCGUGAAGAGGGAAACAACCCAGACCGCCAGCUAAGGUCCCAAAGUCAUGGUUAAGUGGGAAACGAUGUGGGAAGGCACAGACAGCCAGGAUGUUGGCUUAGAAGCAGCCAUCAUUUAAAGAAAGCGUAAUAGCUCACUGGUCGAGUCGGCCUGCGCGGAAGAUGUAACGGGGCUAAACCAUGCACCGAAGCUGCGGCAGCGACACUAUGUGUUGUUGGGUAGGGGAGCGUUCUGUAAGCCUGCGAAGGUGUGCUGUGAGGCAUGCUGGAGGUAUCAGAAGUGCGAAUGCUGACAUAAGUAACGAUAAAGCGGGUGAAAAGCCCGCUCGCCGGAAGACCAAGGGUUCCUGUCCAACGUUAAUCGGGGCAGGGUGAGUCGACCCCUAAGGCGAGGCCGAAAGGCGUAGUCGAUGGGAAACAGGUUAAUAUUCCUGUACUUGGUGUUACUGCGAAGGGGGGACGGAGAAGGCUAUGUUAGCCGGGCGACGGUUGUCCCGGUUUAAGCAUGUAGGCUGGUUAUCCAGGCAAAUCCGGAUAAUCAAGGCUGAGGUGUGAUGACGAGGCACUACGGUGCUGAAGUAACAAAUGCCCUGCUUCCAGGAAAAGCCUCUAAGCAUCAGGUAACAUCAAAUCGUACCCCAAACCGACACAGGUGGUCAGGUAGAGAAUACCAAGGCGCUUGAGAGAACUCGGGUGAAGGAACUAGGCAAAAUGGUGCCGUAACUUCGGGAGAAGGCACGCUGGUGUGUAGGUGAAGUCCCUGCGGAUGGAGCUGAGACCAGUCGAAGAUACCAGCUGGCUGCAACUGUUUAUUAAAAACACAGCACUGUGCAAACACGAAAGUGGACGUAUACGGUGUGACGCCUGCCCGGUGCCGGAAGGUUAAUUGAUGGGGUUAUCCGUAAGGAGAAGCUCUUGAUCGAAGCCCCGGUAAACGGCGGCCGUAACUAUAACGGUCCUAAGGUAGCGAAAUUCCUUGUCGGGUAAGUUCCGACCUGCACGAAUGGCGUAAUGAUGGCCAGGCUGUCUCCACCCGAGACUCAGUGAAAUUGAACUCGCUGUGAAGAUGCAGUGUACCCGCGGCAAGACGGAAAGACCCCGUGAACCUUUACUAUAGCUUGACACUGAACAUUGAGCCUUGAUGUGUAGGAUAGGUGGGAGGCUUUGAAGCGUGGACGCCAGUCUGCGUGGAGCCAACCUUGAAAUACCACCCUUUAAUGUUUGAUGUUCUAACGUUGGCCCCUGACCGGGGUUGCGGACAGUGUCUGGUGGGUAGUUUGACUGGGGCGGUCUCCUCCCAAAGCGUAACGGAGGAGCACGAAGGUUAGCUAAUCCUGGUCGGACAUCAGGAGGUUAGUGCAAUGGCAUAAGCUAGCUUGACUGCGAGCGUGACGGCGCGAGCAGGUGCGAAAGCAGGUCAUAGUGAUCCGGUGGUUCUGAAUGGAAGGGCCAUCGCUCAACGGAUAAAAGGUACUCCGGGGAUAACAGGCUGAUACCGCCCAAGAGUUCAUAUCGACGGCGGUGUUUGGCACCUCGAUGUCGGCUCAUCACAUCCUGGGGCUGAAGUAGGUCCCAAGGGUAUGGCUGUUCGCCAUUUAAAGUGGUACGCGAGCUGGGUUUAGAACGUCGUGAGACAGUUCGGUCCCUAUCUGCCGUGGGCGCUGGAGAAUUGAGGGGGGCUGCUCCUAGUACGAGAGGACCGGAGUGGACGCAUCACUGGUGUUCGGGUUGUCAUGCCAAUGGCACUGCCCGGUAGCUAAAUGCGGAAGAGAUAAGUGCUGAAAGCAUCUAAGCACGAAACUUGCCCCGAGAUGAGUUCUCCCUGAGACUUUAAGUCUCCUGAAGGAACGUUAAAGACGAUGACGUUGAUAGGCCGGGUGUGUAAGCGCAGCGAUGCGUUGAGCUAACCGGUACUAAUGCU
rnacentral:rRNA from 1 species